GACAGAGGGUGCAAACGUUGUUCGGAAUUACUGGGCGUAAAGCGCGUGUAGGCGGCUCGGAAAGUCGGGUGUGAAAGCCCUGGGCUUAACCCAGGAAGUGCACUCGAAACUUCCGAGCUGGAGUCCUGGAGAGGAAGGCGGAAUUCUCGGUGUAGAGGUGAAAUUCGUAGAUAUCGAGAGGAACACCGGUGGCGAAGGCGGCCUUCUAGACAGUGACUGACGCUGAGACGCGAAAGCGUGGGGAGCAAACAGG
rnacentral:rRNA from 1 species